CUCCUCAGUAAUUAAAAGUGUCAUGUAUUCUAUGGUUAUGCCUUAUUGUCACAUUUUAAGAUUCUAUCGUCGAAAACCUUUUCCAUCUGUUAAAUAAUGCACAGUAAAAACCGAAGACUGUGAAACGAGACGAAAAUAUUUAAACUGAGAAAUAAAAGGAAACAUAUUUUAGAAAAUUGACACAAUUUCGGAAUUUUCGAGUGACAUUUGAGGAUGAAAAUAACCUCCUUCCCCCCAAAGCUGUUUAGGCAAAGGGAUUUCUCAUGAAAAUUUUAACUUAAUCGUUGGCGAAUCAAAAGCUGUGACGAAGAUCAUGAUAAUUACAUUCAAGACAGAAAACAACCGCGAUCGAAGCAUAACACUUCUGGCUGUUUGUCGUGUCAUUCAGCCGAGAGUUUAUUGGGCGACUAUUGCGUUUCACCAUUGAUUGAAAAGGAAGGUUAUAGAGCUUGCUGUGACAGUUUGUCGACUCUAUAGACGACCUUAAACAGAAAUAGCUGUCGCGAAAGUUUGUCUCGGUUCGAUUGAGGGAUAAAUUUACAAUUUAAAUCUCCGGCAACGGUGAGUCGAUUUUUUUUGCUGUGAACUGCCAGGAUGGGUCAGACGGAAAGUCGUCGGUGCAGAAUUUGUGCUACAAAGUUGAAUCCGAAAAAGAAACAGGACAUGGAACAAUCACUGUGUUCAAAGUGCAGGAAAAAGGGAUCAAAGGCACUGUGGGAGAACAGGUCAACUCUAAAGUCAAUUGUCUUUGGAAAAGGAAAAAAAGAAAAAAAGAAGAAAAAGAAAGGGAAAAAACAGAAGAAGAAGAACAAGAACAAGGGAGAAUAAGAACGAGCGGCAUUCUUGAACGAGUAGUAAACUACGGAAAUGUUAGUCUUUCCUUGUUGAUAACAGUUCAUCAUUAAGGUGACCUCAUUGUAAAUAGAAUUCCCUCACAGUAUUGUAACUGCGGUAAAUCAGGGAAACUUUGUUAUUUGCAAUUUAUGGAUUUCAGAUACCUUGUCGUGGCUAUUCACGGGAAAGUUUGCUUGUAUUGGAAAGGCGUGGUUUCUUUUUAGUAAUAGUCUCGAUGACGUUUUCAUUACAAGAUUUAAUUGUGACGAAUUAGCCAGAAAAAAAUCUGGUUGAUUUUUUGUGGUUAAAGAAACAAAUCAGAUUUCCUGUACAGUAAUCAAUGGAAUUUCCAAUUAGAAUUCUAUGGAUCUGUGCUUACAUCUACUUGCAAAGUUACAAUCCUCGUCACAAUUGUUUAAACAUUUCCUCCUUUUUCGUUUGUCAUUGUUGGUAACAGAAGAUUGGACCUCCUGAAAAAAAUUAAUCUUUUGGAGGAACUGGCGUGUUUCAAUCAAACUUGACGAGGGUUGUAUUUUUUAUUGUAAUUAUAGUGUAUUGUAAUGUUGUGACGGAUUCAAAUGGCUCAGGGUCCCAAUAAUGUUAAAUACUUUGCAACUGAAAAUGAAAAACUAGACAAGAAUUGGGAUUAA